ACUAGUUCAACCUGCAAACAUUGAAAAGUGGGCCAUAGUAAACAUUGCUGCAUGCCGUUAUAUUCAUGGCCUUGUUGGAGAUCUCAUGAAGGAUGUGGAACACCCAUUUGAUGUAUUUGAAAAGAAUCAGAAGUACAGACGACUACUCUCUCUUGUAAGGUUGGAAAAGAAGCUUGAAGAGAUUCAGGCUAAACUUUUAGGGGCACCUAAAUAACUUUUGUCUCCUUCCAGAGAACAAAAACUGUGAUCUUUAUGGUUCUCAGAGAAAGAGGAAUUUGGCUGCAUAUGAUAUUACAACUGAUGUUCCUGAUGUUUCCUGAUGUUACUCAAUGCAUGGUUCCUACCAGUGUCUUACAACUGUUCUCCUUAAGGCCAAUGUAAAGCCAUGCUGUCAGUGAGUCGCAGUUUAAUCAAGUAAUCAACAUGAGCUGGAUCAAAUUAUUGAAGUGUUCCAUCACAAAUUAAUAGUAAAGGUAGUCUGAGGUUUAUUCAUGAGAAUGACAAUUAUUGUCUCCAUUUUGUAGGCUUGCAAGUUUCUUGAUGAGAAAUGGUCUCCAAAAGUCGUGGUCAUUCUUGCACAGAGAAAUCAUCAUACAAAGUUCUUUCAGCCUAAUGCACCAGAAAAUGUUGCCCCGGGUAUUGACUUGACAGACAAUGCAAUUAGGCUACAUAAGAAAGUUAUUGUUGCAUUGAUUGACACGUUCCAGGGAGGUGAUGCAGGGCCAUUGAUUGACAAUAAAGUUUGUCAUCCCAAGAACUAUGACUUCUACUUGUAUACUCAUGCUGGC